rnacentral:misc_RNA from 1 species
CCUUCCCCUUUCGCUAUUUAUACUAGUACGUUGGCUAUAGGGACCUUACAUCUCUCUUGUUUCCCUGCAAAUUGCAAACCCUCUAAUCCUUUUUCUCCCUCUUUCUCUCUAUAGUUCGAAAAAAACUAAGCACAGUGACUUGAACAAGCUCUCCAUCGAGACAAGCUCUCCAUCGAGUUUUUUAAGGAACAAUAAAAAGCUAUUCUUCUACGUAAUAUAUACCAUGGGGAGAGUACCGUGUUGUGACAAAAAUGGGCUAAAGAAAGGACCUUGGACCCCUGAGGAGGAUCAGAAACUGAUUGAUUAUAUCCAGAAACAU